AAUACUCUAUAAUUAUUUUGAUGCUUAUAUUUUCAAUUUAAAUAAAAAAAUUGUCGCAGAUGAAGAUCAGUAUGGAUAUAGAUUCAUUAGUUAAUAAAAAUACUGCUAUAUUAUAUAAAAAUUUAUAUAUUGAUAAAAUAUUUUAAUAUUUUUUAUUUUAAUUAAAUCCGACUGUAAAGUGUGGAUUACAUGCUAGUUAGGCAAUAGAGUCCUCCAUGAACCGCCUACCCAUGCGCCAAAAGCCGGUUUGGCCCUCAUACCAGGC
rnacentral:lncRNA from 1 species